CAACUUUCAACAACGGAUCUCUUGGUUCUGGCAUCGAUGAAUAACGCACCGAAAUGCGAUACGUAUUGUGAAUUGCAAAAUUCAUUGAAUCAUCUAAUCUUUGAACGCACAUUGCGCCCUUUGGUAUUCCAAAGGGCAUGCCUGUUCCAGCGUCAUUU
rnacentral:rRNA from 1 species